AGUGAACGCUGGCGGUAGGCCUAACACAUGCAAGUCGAACGGCAGCACAGUAAGAGCUUGCUCUUACGGGUGGCGAGUGGCGGACGGGUGAGGAAUACAUCGGAAUCUACUUUUUCGUGGGGGAUAACGUAGGGAAACUUACGCUAAUACCGCAUACGACCUACGGGUGAAAGCAGGGGAUCUUCGGACCUUGCGCGAUUGAAUGAGCCGAUGUCGGAUUAGCUAGUUGGCGGGGUAAAGGCCCACCAAGGCGACGAUCCGUAGCUGGUCUGAGAGGAUGAUCGCCCACACGGGAAUUGAGACACGGUCCAGACUCCUAGGGGAGGCAGAAGUGGGGAAUAUUGGACAAUGGGCGCAAGCCUGAUCCAGCCAUACCGCGUGGGUGAAGAAGGCCUUCGGGUUGUAAAGCCCUUUUGUUGGGAAAGAAAAGCAGCAGGUUAAUACCCCGCUGUUCUGACGGUACCCAAAGAAUAAGCACCGGCUAACUUCGU
rnacentral:rRNA from 1 species